rnacentral:rRNA from 1 species
AGUGACGAUAGCCUAGGAGAUACACCUGUUCCCAUGCCGAACACAGAAGUUAAGCCCUAGCACGCCUGAUGUAGUUGGGGGGUUGCCCCCUGUUAGAUC